ACAGAUCCAAGGCCACAAUGCUCGUCCCGCACAGGACGUCUGAACGACAGUUCUGGCUUCCAUCUUUGCGAGCGGGCUAAGGUCUGAGUGUAUAGCUCCCUCGAUCGACUCUCGCAGGGUCCGAGUCUAACGGCUCGAGCAACAUACAAGAAAUCCGUCUGCUUCACCUUGUCCGAAGACACGCUAUCUGUUUCUCUAGAUUCGGCGGCGUCGAGGGUGGUGAAUGUAGGCUUGAGAUAUGUUGCGGAGUUUGGGCAGUACGUUUUGUCUCAUCUAUCCUCCGAGUCGUGGGUCGGAGUGCCCUCGAUGCCCUAUCGCACCUUUCGUCUGUGUCAGACGAUCAGACAUCAGGCAGUGUCUGAAGUGUUGUCAACUCGCUUCAUUGCGACACAGACAGGAGUAUAUGACUCUGGGAGCACACCACUCCGAUCAGAGCCUCCGGGAGAACACCACUCCAGUCUGAUUAGGGAACACCCUUCUCCAAGUCGAACCUCUUUCCUGGACGAAUGUUAGCCCUUCAGUCAUGAUCCGUGGCGAGAAGCGGGGGUCAUAACUCACACCUGCCGCCUUUACCCAACGAGAUCAGAAGACAUAACCUGUCGCUGUUGUGGCUAAUACAGGAAAGAGUGUCUGCCAAACCCUGGUGGGACGUGGACCUUGUCCAGUUGCGUUUCGAUGGUCAUGAGUUGAUGACACUGGUGUAUGAGGGGUUGGGAGUUUGUGAGGUGCACAUCGGUACUGUCCUUCAGUGCAAUUUGUGGCUCGCGCCUUUCGUUCUCCUUCUGGAAACGAAGGCGUGAAACUCGAUUCAGACUACUCUGGGUCUGU
rnacentral:RNase_P_RNA from 2 species